rnacentral:rRNA from 1 species
GACGAACGCUGGCGGCGUGCUUAACACAUGCAAGUCGAACGAAGAGCGAUGGACGCUUGCUUCUAUCAAUCUUAGUGGCGAACGGGUGAGUAACGCGUAAUCAACCUGCCCUUCAGAGGGGGACAACAGUUGGAAACGACUGCUAAUACCGCAUACGAUCUAACCUCGGCAUCGAGGAUAGAUGAAAGGUGGCCUCUACAUGUAAGCUAUCACUGAAGGUGGGGAUUGCGUCUGAUUAGCUAGUUGGAGGGGUAACGGACCACCAAGGCGAUGAUCAGUAGCCGGUCUGAGAGGAUGAACGGCCACAUUGGGACUGAGACACGGCCCAGACUCCUACGGGAGGCAGCAGUGGGGAAUCUUCCGCAAUGGACGAAAGUCUGACGGAGCAACGCCGCGGGAGUGAUGACGGCCGUCGGGUUGGAAAGCUCUGUUAAUCGGGACGAAAGGCCUUCUUGCGAAUAGUGAGAAGGAUUGACGGUACCGGAAUAGAAAGCCACGGCUAACUACGUG